ensembl:lncRNA
UUGUUUGGAUCUUUUAUAACAUUCAGAGUUUAGUUGGAGUUAGCUUCCCUUUCAGUGGGAAGUUUCACGUAAGAAAGAUGAAAAUGACCAUGCAAAUUCCUCUUUCACUGUGCUGAAGUCUUGCCUGGCAGUCAGAAGUGCACAGUCUGUAUUUAUGUGACGUUCCCCAAGUCUGGAAUCUGCACAAUUGCAUGAGAUAAGUCCUGUAAGCAGUGUGUUAACAGCUUCCCCGAAAACUCACUGCUUUUGGUAAUGUCACUGGAAUCACUGGGAAAAGUAUACAGGGGAGUACAUGCUUGUCCUGGUUCUACUAUGGGCAUUUGCUACUGGCAAAAGAUUUCUUAGCUAGAGUGAUCUUUGGUUUGGCAUAGCCACUAUAGCACUUUAACAAUCCCUGCUGAAAGUCUCUGUUCCAAAUUAGUGCAAAGACACCACCAGACAUUCAAAAUAGAUUUUCACCAAGUAACAUGCUAGUGAGAUGGCAUCCAGUGACUGUUCAAUGAAUAAGCCGGCAGCUGGUGUUCUCAUUAAGAUCUUUGAAGCUCCCGUUUCCCCAAGUAGUUUGUGACUGCUGGGAUGUUUUCUGUACAUAGAGCUGUUAACUGUCUUCCAUCUCUUCUCCAGCACUUACUAUGGAGAUGAAUCCAAAGUCAAUUUCAGCUCUUUCUCUGCAGUUGGUAGAUGUGCAAUUCCAAGGACUCAGACCCAUCCUGGAAUGAGAGUUUUUGUUGAUGAUGAGCUGUUACAAAAAGGUCUGUGAAAGCUUUGGAAGCAGUUCAUCCUUUUCCAUCUCUGCUGGCAAUAAGGUGUCUUAAAAUGUUAGCUAGCUGACACAGUUUUGAGGUUUAAACAAAGAUCUUGUUAUAUCAAGCAAUAUCCACUGCUUUGUCAGCUCAAUGGUUUUCUUGAGACCAGCCUACAGAGGUAAAAACAGAAAGAAUACGCACCAGCUCCAUCCUUUCUGCAGGAUACAAAACCAAAAUAAAUGUAAACAAGAAUAUGAAUUGUUCAGAGGGAAAAAAAAAAGCCUGAAAAGAGCUAAAACAGACCACUGAGCUUGUCCCCUUGCCUAAAAGCAGGAAUGGCUACAAUUACAACACCCGCUGUCUAACUUACCUUUAAAGCCUCAGGUGAUGAAGAUCCCAUACCCAUGCUCUCCCCAUUAGGCAAUCUUCUGUUGUGGUAUCUUUACCAGUAGAAGGAUUUUUUCCGCCCCCCCCUUGCAUUUUUCUUACUGCAGUUUAAACUGCAGACAUCUUUCCCCCUUCAUUAUGGACAUGAAUCGUAGAUUGUUACCUUACCCUGUGCAACACCCUUUCAUUCUCUCAAAGGCAGGCUAAAGCUUCAUACGGUACAUCGUGUUGGAAGUGAUACAAAAAUCAAAAAGAAAAUAAAAAUUUAAGUGGGAAUUUUAAAGGCAAAUAGAACAAAAUAUGAACUAAAACAUCCAGCAAUGCCUAGGUUCAUUCUGCCAGCUUCAGGUGCCAGUCAUGACUGAUUCCCAGUUGCCUGGUCUUAUGAAGAAGCAGAAUUCCUCCACUAGGUACUUGAAUGUGCCCGAGAUAAUCACUCUUGCCGGUGCCUGCUCGCUAGGUGGGAUGUUGGGCAACAAGGUUCCCAAGAAGAUGAACCAUUUUGAACUUUAACGCUACAUAGAACACAGUUCAGUAAACCACUGCAAGGCAUGGCCAAGAGGAGGUUUCAGCACUUAAACUGUGUUUCAUUAAAAUCAGAUGAAUAAAGAUGAGAACAGAAUGCGGCUCACACCCUACCCACCACUAAAGAAGCAUUCCUAAAACCCGAAAAGAAACACCCCCACCCCCAAAAACCCAACGGGAAACAGGAAACUGAGAGCAUGAAGCACGCUGCUGCUUCAGAUCUCGGCAAAACAAAGGCGGGUUCGGGCCAAGCGCACCCCAGAACCCGCGGCCGCUCCCGCCGCUCUCC